AGAAGAAAAGAAGUGGUGCACUCAAGUCCAACUGCUGGAGAGUUUAAAGCCAGGUGGCCUGCACUUUUCCAUAUUCAAGAGAUAAAUGCUGAAUUCCAGCGAAUAACAACAAUCCCACUUGAGACGACCUUCAUGGCAUAUUUGGACGGUAAUUUACCCAAGCUGACAUCUGUUUUCUUGAAGAAGGGAGGUGUUUCUGGACAGAAGCUAGCCAAACAUCUGGAGGUCUUGCAAGAGGCCACAAGUGAUAUCAACCUUAAAAGGGCAGCAGCCCUCAAGGCACUUUGCAUCUACCUUGGGGAAGAUGAUGGGCAUCUCAUUCGGG